UACAGAGGUGGCAAGCGUUGUUCGGAAUUACUGGGCGUAAAGGGCGCGUAGGCGGUCCGAUAAGUCCCGUGUGAAAUCCCUCGGCUCAACUGAGGAAUGGCACGGGAAACUGCCGGGCUUGAGUUCGGGAGAGGGAAGCGGAAUUCCGGGUGUAGCGGUGAAAUGCGCAGAUAUCAGGAGGAACACCGAUGGCGAAGGCAGGUCUCUGGGCCACUACUGACGCUGAGAAGCGAAAGCAUGGGGAGCGAACAGG
rnacentral:rRNA from 1 species